AUUGAACGCUGGCGGCAGGCUUAACACAUGCAAGUCGAGCGGGGGAAGGUAGCUUGCUACCGGACCUAGCGGCGGACGGGUGAGUAAUGCUUAGGAAUCUGCCUAUUAGUGGGGGACAACAUCUCGAAAGGGAUGCUAAUACCGCAUACGUCCUACGGGAGAAAGCAGGGGAUCUUCGGACCUUGCGCUAAUAGAUGAGCCUAAGUCGGAUUAGCUAGUUGGUGGGGUAAAGGCCUACCAAGGCGACGAUCUGUAGCGGGUCUGAGAGGAUGAUCCGCCACACUGGGACUGAGGCACGGCCCAGACUCCUACGGGAGGCAGCAGUGGGGAAUAUUGGACAAUGGGGGGAACCCUGAUCCAGCCAUGCCGCGUGUGUGAAGAAGGCCUUAUGGUUGUAAAGCACUUUAAGCGAGGAGGAGGCUACUCUAGUUAAUACCUAGGGAUAGUGGACGUUACUCGCAGAAUAAGCACCGGUUAACUCUGUGCCAGCCGCCGCCGUAA
rnacentral:rRNA from 1 species